GAGCUCAGCCCAGUUCUUUUUGUUAAGAAGGCUAAGGCCACUGGUUACCAAGCAGCUUGUUUUAUGUGUCUGCAGUUAGCCUUUCUGUUUCCUUCUUCUUAGGCUAAAACUGGGUUCUGGACAUCUGCACAACCGGCACAAGGACAUUACAUUCAAACUCAGAGGAUUCAUAUUUUAGGUCUGCAAUGAGAAAUCUUCCUGAAAUUCAGGGUAAGCACCUCCAUUAUUAUUUGGACAUCAGCAAAUAAAAAUGAUUCCAACCAAGUUGUUACAGCCAUUGUCCUCAGUUUCUUUUGAAAGACAAACACAAUUUGCUGCGUGUCAAGAUCUCUCCUUUGCAAGAAACAAAUAUUUUAGGCUUAGAAACACUGACAGGAAGUGUGAUGUGCAGAGCAUCGGGCCACCAGAUUUCUCAGUGAAACUGUACAGCAGUCUGUCUACUUCAGAAAUAAGGGAAAGAAAGAAAAAUAUAAAGAUAGUUGCACCUCAGCCCAAAGAAAUGAAGAGGAGAUAUCAGACGUUUCUACCAAAUUCUCUGUCCUCGUGUCCAAAGAGAAAAGAACCUCCAAAGUUCAUCACUUCACACAGGCCUCCUGAUGCUCUGGAGACUGAACUGAUGUUUGUCAAGAUUGGAAAGUAUCAUUCUGGGACGUACAAGAACCACAAACCUCAUGACUUCAGACCACUUGAUGAGGAGCUUCCAGACAUGAUAACUGCACAUGAGAGAGAUCCUGGCAACUUGAAGUUAAAAUUAAAGCAUUUGGACACUUUGAAGAUCAGGUCUGAGACAGAUUUUAGUUUACGAGACACCAAGACACGGAUGGAUACCUAUAAACCUGCAGAACCAAAAUGGGAUGCCCAACUGUUUCUCCCUCCACUGCCCUGGCCUCCAAAAUCAGCUUCCUACACUAGACACAAACAAAGAAGAGAAGCGUACAGUGCUUUCCUCGACCGUGUGGAAGAGAAACUUGGGAGAACCUGGAAAAAUAAACCGUGACUCUCUGUCGUCCUUUAGCCCUGUAGCUCUGAGGUUUUGAGACUUCUACAUCAUCAGUGUGAUUUUACUUUUUACAAUACAUUUUUAAGCAAUUAACUACACACAAAAGCCAGAUGUAGCAAAUGUUAUGUUUUCCUAUUUACUUAUCAGAAGGUUUAAUAAACAUUUGAAUAAACAAACCAGUUUCAAAAAGUUUGAAUUUUCUUGCAAUGAUUUCAUGGUUUAGGCUUCACAGGUUUCAACACAUUUGCUUCUUUCUCUAAAUCCUCCCUCGGUCAUGCUGCAAUAGACUUCGGCUGCUGGGGGCUUGCCAUGAUGCACUGAGUCUUUAACCUUCUCUCACCCUUUUUCCCUCACUGUGUGUUUACACACCACUCUGCCUUAUUGCUUAUCUCUGGCUCUCUUCCACAUGUUAUCCCCCUGCCCUCACCCCAACCAGUCACGGCAGAUGGCUACCCUUUCCAGAGCCUAGUUCUGCCAGAGGUUUCUUCAUGUAAAGAGGGAGUUUUUCCUUCCCCC
ensembl:lncRNA